rnacentral:lncRNA from 10 species
AUGUGCUGGAGAUACAGAGGAGGAGGAGACAGAUGAAACCCCAGCCCUUGUGAUAUUGUCAUCCUAGUAGGUGUGGUGGGGAGAUAAACAAGUAGACACCUGCAUGAAUAAGACUUUCAGAUUGUGGUAAACCCUGUGGAGGAAACGAAACAGGUGAAGGAACGGCGUGACUAGGAGCAGGCAGGUGCGGCUGCUUCAGAAUUUCACUCUGUCGCCAGGCUGGAAUGCAGUAGGGCAAUCUCGGCUCACUGCAACCUCCACCUCCCGAGUUCAAGUGAUGCUCCUGCUUCGGCCUCCUGAGUAGCUGGGACUACAGGUGAGUGCCACCACAUCCAGCUAAUUUUUGUAUUUUUAGUAGAGACAGGGUUUCACCAUGUUGGCCAGGCUGGUAUCAAUCUCCUGACCUCGUGAUCCAUCUGUCUCGGCCUCCCAAAGUGCUGGGAUUACAGGCGUGAGCCACCGUGCCCGGCCAUUGACUAAGGUCUUAAAAUAGCUCUUCCUGCCUGUAUAAUCUCCAUUAUGGCAGGGCUCAUAUAAGAAGAUGACAGUUCAUCUGAUGAGGAAGAAAACUU